CGGAGUCUCGCUCCGUCCCCCAGGCGGGAGUGCAGUGGCGCGAUCUCGGCUCACUGCAAGCUCCGCCUCCCGGGUUCACGCCAUCUUGCCACUAAACCUGAUUUACCAACAUAACCUGUUUCUGGCCAUGCUGUGAAUCUGCAUUCUUUACUGUGUCCUUGGGAUACUAGGUCUCUGAUCAAGUGCCACAUCUUUAGAGAAGCUUUUCCAAACAACCGAUUAUGAAGUACACAUUAACAAUGAAGCCUCUUUUCAAGUAAAGAAGUGAGUAGCCUUCAAGCUCCAGAUAAUCCUCAGUGAGGUAUACUGUCCGCUCAAUAUCCAAGAGUCACCCUUCUACAAGGGACCUCUAGACUGCCCAUAAGUGAGACAUGACAGAGGUAAAGUCAUGCUCCUGUCUCCCUUGGACCUGGCUGGAAACUGCAUUCAUCAACCCAUGGAACCACCCCCCUGCCAUGAAAGCUAGCAAGAGGCCAAGACCCACAGAACAACCACCAUCAUCCCUCUGUCAGCAGGAAGCGGUUACAAAAGACUAACCUUUGCCCAUUUUCCCCAAAGAAUUGGGGUCUUGGAAUCUUGAGGGAGGAAAUGUUACAGUAGGUAGCUAGUCAGACAUGAGCAGAGCAGAAGAGGGCUUACACACACACACACACACACACACACACACACCCCACACACAAAGAAUCCUGGGCAACCAUCAGGCGAUUGUAAGGUGGUUGUUAACUGUGUCUCUAAAAUAACGAUUGGUCACAACCAGUGCAAUGGAAAGGCAGUCUCUCAAUAAACAGAAACACCUGGAGCUGAUGAUCAGCAGCUUCCUGAUCAGGUCUCAGAAGUUUGGCAAGCUGGCCUACACAUGCGCACUAAGAGGCAAAAUGGCACAGUUUAACUGGUAUAUGACUUCCAAUGGACAUUCAGCAUGUAAGGGAAAAAUGCCUCAAGUAAGCAUGCAUACAACUCCACUAAACACACUGUGCAUGCUCCCCUCUCAAGUGCUGGCAGGCCAGUGCACAUGGGGACAGCCCACCCCAAAGAAAGUCUCAAGGGUGUAGGGAUGCAAGACCCCGGGAAUAUGCCAAUGUAUUAAACCCUAAGUCAAAAGGUCAAAUCAUGCACUUGUCUUUCAAGUCACCCACUUGACCCUCUUCCAAGUGUACUUUCCUUCCUUUUGUUACUACUCUAAAGCUUUUUAAUAAAUUUUCACUUUUUGAAUUCUUGUCUGCAACUUAGACUAACCUUGCUUGUUUCUCUGAACCAACCAGUGAUCUCUGGCUCGACUCAGAAGCAACAAAUAGAUGGUAAAUUGUGAAGAGAGUAACUAUACACCACAUGGCUUGACAAUAUCCAAACAUCAUUCUUGUUCUACAAAAGUUACAAAUGGU
rnacentral:lncRNA from 10 species